rnacentral:rRNA from 1 species
UACGGGGGGGGCAAGCGUUGUUCGGAAUUACUGGGCGUAAAGGGCUUGUAGGUGGCCAACUAAGUCAGACGUGAAAUCCCUCGGCUUAACCGGGGAACUGCGUCUGAUACUGGAUGGCUAGAGUGUGGGAGAGGGAUGCGGAAUUCCAGGUGUAGCGGUGAAAUGCGUAGAUAUCUGGAGGAACACCGGUGGCGAAGGCGGCAUCCUGGACCACGACUGACACUGAAAAGCGAAAGCCAGGGAGCAAACGGG